UGGACGCCGCUUGCACGGCGACGGCGGAGGAGGAGGUCACCCAUUUGGAAGAUCUCCCGGAGAGCUGCGUGGAACACGUGCUGGCGCUCACCUCCCCGCGCGAUGCUUGCCGCUUCGCUGCCGUGUCCCCGUCCUUCCGCGAGGCCGCCGAGUCUGACGCCGUCUGGGAUCGCUUCCUCCCGCCCGACUACCAUGCCAUCCUCCUGCGCUGCUGCUCGGGCCGCACGCCGCCGCUGUCGUCCAAGAAGGACGCCUACCUCCAGCUUUCUGACGGCGCGGUCCUGGUCGAUGACGGCGACACGGCGGUAUAGUUGGCGAGGGGAAGCGGCGCCAAGUGCGUGGCGCUGUCAGCGAGGAAGCUGA
rnacentral:rRNA from 1 species